CCUACGGGAGGCAGCAGUGGGGAAUAUUGCACAAUGGGGGGAACCCUGAUGCAGCAACGCCGCGUGGGUGAAGAAGUACUCCGGUAUGUAAAGCUCUAUCAGCAGGGAAGAAAAUGACGGUACCUGAGUAAGAAGCCCCGGCUAACUACGUGCCAGCAGCCGCGGUAAUACGUAGGGGGCAAGCGUUAUCCGGAUUUACUGGGUGUAAAGGGAGCGUAGACGGCAGUGCAAGUCUGGAGUGAAAGGCGGGGGCUCAACCCCCGGACUGCUCUGGAAACUGUACGGCUGGAGUGCAGGAGAGGUAAGUGGAAUUCCUAGUGUAGCGGUGAAAUGCGUAGAUAUUAGGAGGAACACCAGUGGCGAAGGCGGCUUACUGGACUGUAACUGACGUUGAGGCUCGAAAGCGUGGGGAGCAAACAGGAUUAGAUACCCGAGUAGUC
rnacentral:rRNA from 1 species